GAUUGAACGCUGGCGGCAGGCUUAACACAUGCGAGUCGAGCGGAGAUGAGGUGCUUGCACCUUAUCUUAGCGGCGGACGGGUGAGUAAUGCUUAGGAAUCUGCCUAUUAGUGGGGGACAACAUUCCGAAAGGAAUGCUAAUACCGCAUACGUCCUACGGGAGAAAGCAGGGGAUCUUCGGACCUUGCGCUAAUAGAUGAGCCUAAGUCGGAUUAGCUAGUUGGUGGGGUAAAGGCCUACCAAGGCGACGAUCUGUAGCGGGUCUGAGAGGAUGAUCCGCCACACUGGGACUGAGACACGGCCCAGACUCCUACGGGAGGCAGCAGUGGGGAAUAUUGGACAAUGGGGGGAACCCUGAUCCAGCCAUGCCGCGUGUGUGAAGAAGGCCUUAUGGUUGUAAAGCACUUUAAGCGAGGAGGAGGCUACUGAGA
rnacentral:rRNA from 1 species